UCCCUGGUGGUCCAGCGGUUAGGACUCUGCGCUCCCAACGCUGGGGGCCCAGGUUCAAUCCCUGGUCAGGGAA
rnacentral:tRNA from 1 species